rnacentral:rRNA from 1 species
GCGAGUGAACCGGGAUGAGCUCAAAUUUAAAAUCUGGCGUCUUUCAGGCGUCCGAGUUGUAAUCUAUAGAGGCGUUUUCCGCGCCGGACCGCGUCCAAGUCUCUUGGAAUAGAGUAUCAAAGAGGGUGACAAUCCCGUACUUGACGCGACAACCGGUGCUCUGUGAUACGUUCUCAAUGAGUCGAGUUGUUUGGGAAUGCAGCUCUAAAUGGGUGGUAAAUUCCAUCUAAGGCUAAAUAUUGGCGAGAGACCGAUAGCGAACAAGUACCGUGAGGGAAAGAUGAAAAGCACUUUGGAAAGAGAGUUAAACAGCACGUGAAAUUGUUAAAAGGGAAACGAUUGAAGUCAGUCGUGUGAAAGGUAUUCAGCCGUCUCUGGCGGUGUAUUUGCCUUUCACGGGUCAACAUCAGUUUGAUCCGGUAGAAAAAGGCAGGAGGAAGGUGGCACCCUCGGGUGUGUUAUAGCCUCUUGUCAUAUGUGCCGGACCAGACUGAGGAACGCAGCUUGCCGCAAGGCCGGGGUUCGCCCACGUACAAGCUUAGGAUGUUGACAUAAUGGCUUUAAACGACCCGUCUUG